UUGAAGCUCAAACCCCCCAUUGACCAGUGAGCUUCCUCAGCCCAUGACAUCAACGGAUCCAUAACGGACACCGGUGGAUCGACCCGUUCUCCAUUUGGGUUUUCGUAAAACCUCGGCCUUGGUAAACUGCUGCCGUAGAAUUUUCCUGGACCCAAUGCUACCACCAUGAUAACCCUAAAACUUAACAAAAAAUUGGAAUGAAAACUAAGAAUUUGUGAG
rnacentral:misc_RNA from 1 species